AAUACCUCUAGGAUAACUAGAUUACCCUGUAGAUGAUCGCAGCAAUGCCCGAGGUUCAAAAAUAGCCACGCAGUCACUUGGCCUCUAUCGAUAUCCACUCGAGCAGGAUCUGGAUCAUCUUCUCCUUACAAAUUUUUUCUCCAAAAAUCAGAUCUAGAUCUGAUCUGAAAGAUCUUCAAAAGAUCUUCUAAAGCUGGAGUAGAAGCUUCUCGAUAAAUUCCUACAGCCUUC
rnacentral:lncRNA from 1 species